UUCCAUCGCUAAGUCAAGGCUUCUUCCUGCGACUUUUUGUCGUAUUUUUUCUUUCAAUGGAGGUCCGUCUGUUACAGCUUUGGUAGAUUGACAAUGUCCCGCACCAAACUUCUUUCUGAAGCGAGGUUGACUGGCCUUCGUCUUGAAGGCUAGUCGUAAGGGACAUACGUGUUUUGUUUAAGAGUUGAGUUCUACUUCUGCCUAUCUAUGGUGGCUUGAUAGUUGAACUCUUAGUAACAUCCCACACAUCA
rnacentral:snoRNA from 1 species